GAUGUAGCUUAGCAGCACAGCACAUGCCUGGCAAGCAUGAGGCCCUGAGUUCAAUUCCAGGUAUC
rnacentral:tRNA from 1 species